rnacentral:misc_RNA from 1 species
GAAAGGGGAGAAGUAAUGUGAAUUGCAGAAUUCAGUGAAUCAUCGAAUCUUUGAACGCACAUUGCGCUCCUUGGUAUUCCUUGGAGCAUGCCUGUUUGAGUAUCAUGAAAUCUUCAAAGUAAAUCUUUUGUUAACUCAAUUGGUUUCUACUUUGGUAUUGGAGGUCUUUGCAGCUUCACACCUGCUCCUCUUUGUUCAUUAGCUGGAUCUCAGUGUUAUGCUUGGUUCCACUCGGCGUGAUAAGUUAUCUAUCGCUGAGGACACUGUAAAAGGUGGCCAAGGUAAAUGCAGAUGAACCGCUUCUAAUAGUCCAUUGACUUGGACAAUACUUUUAUGAUCUGAUCUCAAAUCAGGUAGGACUACCCGCUGAACUUAAGC